UACGUAGGGUGCGAGCGUUGUCCGGAUUUAUUGGGCGUAAAGGGCUCGUAGGCGGCGUGUCGCGUCGGGAGUGAAAGACCGGGGCUUAACCCCGGUUCUGCUUCCGGUACGGGCAUGCUGGAGUGUGGCAGGGGAGACUGGAAGUUCCUGGUGGUAGCGGUGGAAUGCGCAGAUAUCAGGAGGAACACCGGUGGCGAAGGCGGGUCUCUGGGCCAUUACUGACGCUGAGGAGCGAAAGCGUGGGGAGCGAACAGG
rnacentral:rRNA from 1 species